rfam:Gossypium raimondii Chr11_contig_1498, whole genome shotgun sequence.
UUCAUCUAUUUAUAUUGUUAGAAACUAAUGUGAUUGACAAGAUAAUCAAACAGUAAUAUGUAGCAUGCUAGGUGUACCUCAUGUUGACAUACAAUGACCAAAUUUUAAUAGUAGAAAUGGGUAAA